CAGAACGAGACUACAAACUGCACACAGUCUCUACAGCCCUACAAUUCGAUCAUCUAGUUUACUCUAAAUUAUUCAGACUGAGUAUCCAUCAAUCCAACUGAU